rnacentral:rRNA from 1 species
CCUACGGGAGGCAGCAGCGGGGAAUAUUGCACAAUGGGCGCAAGCCUGAUGCAGCCAUGCCGCGUGUGUGAAGAAGGCCUUCGGGUUGUAAAGCACUUUCAGCGGGGAGGAAGGCGGUGAGGUUAAUAACCUCAUCGAUUGACGUUACCCGCAGAAGAAGCACCGGCUAACUCCGUGCCAGCAGCCGCGGUAAUACGGAGGGUGCAAGCGUUAAUCGGAAUUACUGGGCGUAAAGCGCACGCAGGCGGUCUGUCAAGUCGGAUGUGAAAUCCCCGGGCUCAACCUGGGAACUGCAUUCGAAACUGGCAGGCUAGAGUCUUGUAGAGGGGGGUAGAAUUCCAGGUGUAGCGGUGAAAUGCGUAGAGAUCUGGAGGAAUACCGGUGGCGAAGGCGGCCCCCUGGACAAAGACUGACGCUCAGGUGCGAAAGCGUGGGGAGCAAACAGGAUUAGAUACCCCGGUAGUC